ensembl:lincRNA
GGAGGAGGAAGAGGAGGAGGAGGAGGAGAAGGAGGAGAAGGAGGAGGAGGCGUGCAGGCCGCCCGCUCCCGCCGCCCUCGGCCCGGAGCCCGGUUCCCAGCUUUCCGCCUCUCCGGCUCUGCGCGUCUCUGUUUCCGCCUCUCUCCCUGCACCUCCCCGUCUCUGUCUCCCUGUCUCUGGGUCCCUCUCUGUCGCGCUGUCUCAGAGACUCCCUGCCCUCGUCCUCUCGGUUCCCGUGUCCCCCGGGCUCCGGGCAUCUCCCCCGCCCCGCCCGGUGCCCCCUCCCCAGGACGCCGCGGGGCCAUGGCUGCGGGAUCCGAACUUUAAACACUUCUCUCCGGACCGGAGCGGACGCGCCAAGCCGGGAAACACCAGGGACAUCCGUGCAGAGCCUGGGACUCACGUUGAGAGAGACACAGAGAAACAGAGAAACACACAACACCCCAGAGCCACCCAGCCAAAGGAGAGACAGACCCAGGCAGGGUGUGGUCUCCGUCCUGGCCUCCCUGCCCUCUGCAGUGCAUGCAGCCACCCAGCCUCCCAGCUGCCUUCGGCCCAGACACACCUCUUCCAGGCCUGGACGCCCCUACCCAUCUGUCCCCAAGUCGUACACAGUGCAUCCUCAGUAGAGGUUCCUGUGGGUGUGUGACUGCGUGGCUUGUGUUGUCAUGCAUGUAAAUGUGACCUGUGCCAUUGUUUGCACGUGUGUCGUGUCUGAGAGCAUGUUUGUGGGAUGUGUGUGGUACUCAGCUGUGUGGGUCCAUCAUGACUGCCCACAGCUCGGGGGUUGUGCUGUGUGUGGUGUUUCAGCCUCGUGUGGCCACUCAGGGUGGGCCCAGUGACCAGGGCAGGACCGCCCAAGUGCCUGAGGCCAAGGAUGAAAAAGUGAGAAGCUCAGUCCAGGAGAAGCAGGAUGAGGGGCCUAAGGGGACCCCAGAGGUAGUAGGCCGGAGAGUGUAAGUGUGAGGGACACGGCCCCAGGGACGUGUGUGAGACACUGGCUGUGUGAGUCUGUGUGGCAGUGUGUUUGUGUUUGCUUUGACUCAGCUGUGUGAGUCUGGAUUCAGAUGCAGCUGUAAGAGUGUGGUGUAUUGUGUGUGUGUGGUCACUGGGGGAGUGGAAUAGAACAGGCAGGGUAGAGUACCUAUGUGGAUGACCAGCCCUGGGGAGUGUCGAUCGGCCUGCGUAUAUGUGUCAUGGUAUGUCUCUGUGUGGUUGUGUGUUCGUGUGAUUGUUGGAUGGUGCAUGUGUGGGACUCAUGCCCAGUUCAGCGUGGAAGACUGUGUGCCUGUGAUGACAUGAGUACCGAUGUCUGUUUGGCUCACUGGCUACACACGUGUGAAUGUUCCGUGUGGCUACGUUUCAGUCCCUGUGUUUUGCAUGUCCCUGUGAGAAUUCCAGUGUGUGUGGCAUCAGGAGAAGUAGUGAGGAGUUUGUGUGUAGGGUGCAAGCUGUGUGUGUGACACACCUCCCACACCUGUAUAUGAUGUGGGGCACGUGUGCGUGUGGUACUGUGUAGUGCGUAUGUAACGUGUGCGGUGUAUACAUGGUGUGUGUGUGUGUGUGUACAGUGUGAUAUGCGGCAUGGUUUGUGUGUACUGUGUAUGUGAUACGUGUGAGAUAUUGCGAGUGUGUUUGUACAUGUGUAUACCCCAGGCACAGGACCAUCCUCCCCAGAGCCAGGCCAGAGCACUUGGUCGAUGUGGGCAGGGAUGGGAGUGGAGUGACAUCUGGUGUUGGGGGGCAGGUCCUGCAGGAAAGCCCCCACCUGACCCCGCCUCACCAGGGCAGCCAGAGGCUCCUGGUGUCCAUGAUGGGAUGGCCCCCGAACCUGGCUGUGUGUCCACGUGGACGUGGCCCUCACCUGGAUAGACAGAUGCAUGUGAGCCAGUGCACACACAGCACGGGACAGCAGGGAGGCCGCUGCCCUAGGCAGGGCGGGACGGGGUACACGUGGAGACCGUCUGGCAGGGGCUGGCAGCUGUGUGGCCCAGGGGUGUCUGGGGUGUGUGACUACUGGUAGGUGUCAUCGUGUGUCUGCUGUGCGCAUAGAUGUGUCGCACACAGGUGAGCAGCAGGGGGAAGUGUGUGUCCCUCGACUGUCUGAAUGUCGCCAUGGGUGCAGUGAAAGUGUGUGUGUGUGUGUGUGUGUACACGUGCAGGCGCUCGUGCAGGGGUAGCAUGGCAGUGGGAGAAGGGUCUUGGGCCGCGUCUCUCUCCUCUUUAGACAGAGCCCUGGAGAAGAUAUGAAAUUUAAAAAAAAAAAUCAAUUUUCAUUCCACUUGUGCAGAUUGUGUUAAGGGGAGGUGGGGAUGGGGGCUGGGUGAGGGAUGAAGGGGCCAAGGCGGGGUGUGAGGCCUGAGGCAGCUCCCGAGGCGGCCAGCGCAGCUUAGAGAAAUCAAAACAACUGGUUAAACCCCAGCCCAGGGGGCCGGGUGAUGGGGUGAGGAGACAGAGGCCAAGAGGCAGACAGAGGCCUAGAGACAGGGAGGGCCAGACAGAGACACAGAGAUGGAGACACUGAGGGACAGAGGCAGGCAGAGAGAUGAGCAACUCAGACUCUCAACGAGAGAGCAACAGACAGACAGAUGGACAGAUGGACAGAGAACUGACCUUCCGAGGUGUGCUGAGAGAGACGACAAUGCGGGCAUUGAGAACAGAAUGCACACACACGCGCACACACACAAAGGCGUGCUUAUGACGCCUGCAGGUGGAUGGACAGACAGGCUGAUGGGUAGCAGGGUUGGUAGAGAGAGGGCAGCAGAAGCAGCAGGGACCCUGGGGUGGGGUCACCUCUGAGUGCGCCUUGGCCUGUGUCUGGGGAGGGGCUGCAGGCUGCCUGUAGCGCUGGUUACGUCUGAGACUAUGAUCCUUGGGUGUAUGUGUGUCACUGUGACUGUGUCUGUGGACGAAUGUGAGGCCAUGGGUUUGUUGCCUGGCCCUGGCCCUGGCUGUGUUAGUCCUGUGUGCGCCUCUGUGUCACCAUGCGUUACCAAGAG